rfam:Rattus norvegicus chromosome 5, whole genome shotgun sequence.
GGGGAUUUAGCUCAGUGGUAGAGCACUUGCCUAGCAAGUACAAGGCCCUGGGUUCGGUCCCCAGCUCUG